rnacentral:tRNA from 1 species
GUUGUGGCUCAGUGGUAAGAGCACUUGCCUGGCAUGUGUAAGGCCCUGGGUUCGAUUCUCAGCACACA